UUUCUGAUGCCCAGGCUAUACCCCAGAAAAAUUAAAUUAGAAUCUUUGGGGUUGGACUCCAACAUCACCAGUAUUUUUUGAAGGUUGUGCCUGCCAAAUGUGCUGUCAAGGUUGAGAACUACUAUGUUAGGCUCAGAGCAACAGACCCUUGACCAUAAACUCCAGUCUGUGUGCAGAUCUAGGUUCUGUCUUACACUUGAGGAGCCAUCUGCCUGAAGCUUAGAACUCUAGGGUGACCCUGUGGCCCUUUGGUAUCCUGGUUGGAGCCCAGCUGCAAGUAGGUGGGAUGAAUGAGAGCCAGGGAGUAAGGGGGUCUCUUCCCAUCCGCCCUAAGGUGAUGCUUUGGAAAUAACUACUUUUGAAAAUCUUCUUGACCUAAUUGUAAAACCCAGGAGAUGGAGUGUAGAAUCAACUGUCCUGAGUUGAGAAUUUUCUUAAUUUCUAGCAGGGGGAGGUCCAAGAUAAAUCAGAUAUUUUAGGUGUGGGUGAAAUCCACUUGAACCCAACUUGCAACAAUGGACAGAGGAUCCUUGGGGUGUAGUCAGUCCUUCUUUGGCUACUUUGUAGCUCUGAGAAAUUGAAUAUGUAGCCUAACCUCCUUGAGCUUCUACUACCUUAGCUCUAUAAUGUGUGGCAAUUUCUUCCUCCUACUGGGAUUGUGAGGCUCACAUGACACACUCUUUGAGGCAGCCAUCAUCAUUCCUAGCACUUAGUGCCUGAUACACGUUUGCUUCCUUUCUCUUGUCUAUGAAUAGGGUGUGGGCAUUGGCUCAGGUGCUCAGGCCCUACAGCAGCAUAUUAUUCUCAGACCCAUCUGACACGAACACCUGAUAUUAACUACUUCAGACUUAGUUGUGAAAUCGUAUGAAAUUCCACUUUCUUAAAAUCAGCAUUGAUUUAUUCAACAUAGAUAUCUCUUUGUGCUAAGCUCUGGAGAUAUCAAUGAAGCACAACCCUCAUCCUAAAGCAGUUAUGAGUUUAGGGGAAAGUCCAGCAUGUAACAACAAAGAUUACUUG
rnacentral:lncRNA from 1 species